rnacentral:rRNA from 1 species
CCCGCUGAACUUAAGCAUGUCAAUAAGCGGAGGAAAAGAACCUCACAAGGAUUCCCCUAGUAACUGCGAGUGAAGCGGGAAGAGCUCAAAUUUGAAAUCUGGCAGCUCUCUGAACUGUCCGAGUUGUAAUCUAGAGAAGUGUUACCUGUGCUGGACCGUGUACAAGUCUCCUGGAAUGGAGCGUCACAGAGGGUGAGAAUCCCGUCCUUUGACACGGACUGCCUGCAUGUUUAUGGUGCGCUCUCAAAGAGUCGAGUUGUUUGGGAAUGCAGCUCAAAAUGGGUGGUAAAUGCCAUCUAAAGCUAAAUAUUGGCCACAGACCGAUAGCGAACAAUUACCGUGAGGCAAAGAUGAAAAGAACUUUGGAAAGAGAGUUAACCAGUACGUGAAAUUGCUCGAAAGGGAACACGCUCUGAAGUCAGUCGCGUCGGCAUAGAAAUCAACCUUGCUUUUGCUUGGUGUACUUUCUUGCUGAUGGGUCAGCAUCAAUUUUGACCGUUGGAUAAAGUCGUUGGGAAUGUGGCAUCUUAGGAUGUGUUAUAGCCCAUUGUCGCAUACAGCGAGUUGGGAUUGAGGAACUCAUCACGCCCGCACAGGGACGGGUUUUGACCACGUAUCGUGCUUAGGAUGCCGGCAUAAUGGCAUUAAUCGACCCGUCUUGAAACACGG